CAAUAGCGUAUAUUUAAGUUGCUGCAGUUAAAAAGCUCGUAGUUGGAUUUCGGGUGGGAAUGGCCGGUCCGCCGUUUCGGUGUGCACUUGCUACGCCCACCUUGCUGCCGGGGACGUGCUCUUGAGUUCACGCUCGGGACACGGAGUCGGCGAGGUUACUUUGAGUAAAUUAGAGUGUUCAAAGCAGGCCUACGCUCUGAAUACAUUAGCAUGGAAUAACACGAUAGGACUCUGGCCUAUCUUGUUGGUCAGUAGGACCGGAGUAAUGAUUAAGAGGGACAGUCGGGGGCAUUCGUAUUUCAUUGUCAGAGGUGAAAUUCUUGGAUUUAUGAAAGACGAACUACUGCGAAAGCAUUUGCCAAGGAUGUUUUCAUUAA
rnacentral:rRNA from 1 species